rnacentral:tRNA from 1 species
GGAAGGAUUUCAGAGUGGCCGAAUGAGCACGCUUGGAAAGUGUGUGUACCUUUGUGUACCGUGGGUUCGAAUCCCACUCCUUCCA